rnacentral:rRNA from 1 species
AUACGGAGGAUCCGAGCGUUAUUCGGAUUUAUUGGGUUUAAAGGGUGCGCAGGCGGGAGAUUAAGUCGGCGGUGAAAUUUUGCAGCUCCACUGUAAAAGUGCCUUCGAAACUGGUUUCCUUGAGUGUAGAUGAAGUAGGCGGAAUUUGUGGUGUAGCAGUGAAAUGCAUAGAUAUCACGAGGAACUCCGAUUGCGCAGGCAGCUUACUAAACUACUACUGACGCUCAGGCACGAAGGCGUGGGGAUCAAACAGGAUUAGAUACCCUGGUAGUCCACGCAGUAAACGAUGAUUACUAGCUGUUUGCGAUACAAUGUAAGCGGCUGAGCGAAAGCGUUAAGUAAUCCACCUGGGGAGUACGUUCGCAAGAAUGAAACUCAAAGGAAUUGACGGGG